rnacentral:rRNA from 1 species
UGAGGAAUAUUGGUCAAUGGGCGUAAGCCUGAACCAGCCAAGUAGCGUGCAGGAUGACGGCCCUAUGGGUUGUAAACUGCUUUUUCGCGGGGAUAAAGAGGGGGAUGUGUCCCCCGUUGCAGGUACCGCGUGAAUAAGGACCGGCUAAUUCCGUGCCAGCAGCCGCGGUAAUACGGAAGGUCCGGGCGUUAUCCGGAUUUAUUGGGUUUAAAGGGAGCGCAGGCCGUAUGGUAAGCGUGUUGUGAAAUGCCGUGGCUCAACCAUGGCACUGCAGCGCGAACUGCCGUACUUGAGUACGCUGGAGGUAGGCGGAAUUCGUGGUGUAGCGGUGAAAUGCUUAGAUAUCACGAAGAACCCCGAUUGCGAAGGCAGCCUACCGUAGCGGCACUGACGCUGAGGCUCGAAAGCGUGGGUAUCGAACAGG